CUGAAUAUGUGUGGGCCAUUUCAUAAACAGCAGAGAAUAGUGUACUAGAGCUCUUUCACAUUAAAUUUGAUCAACGCAGAACUGCAAAUGAAACUGACAUCUGAGAUGAAGAAAUCGAAAAUCCUCUGCCUUCACGGUGGUCGCAGUAGUGGUGUGCUCCUUAAAGAAGAGCUUGAAAUAUGGCCUUCAAGUGUAUUGGAAAGGAUGGACCUUGUGUGCAUCGAUGCUCCUUUUGCAGCCUAUGAUGUAGAUUUUCGAGCUUUUACCUGGUAUGAUGAUCAGGUAUGCCAUCCAACCACUUCAAAUCAGUUACGGUUUUUCUAGUGUGUGUCCAUGGGCACAUGCUAAGCGAGAAAUUUUAUAAGUUUUAACUCUUUUUGAUUGGCUCUCAUAUUUUAAUAAUGAUGGACUCUCUGUAUAUACAACCACCAUACCAAUCAAAAUCUCCCAAACAUAUAAAAUAUAUACAACCACCAUACCAAUCAAAAUCUCCCAAACAUAUAAAAUUCCGUGCUUAGCAUGUGCCCAUGGACACACACUAAACAAACCCAAUAGCAACCAGUUUUCAUUUUCUUAGUAAUUUGAUGCUUCUACAUGCGAAUAAAUGUCAAGAUGUAACCAGACUGAACAUCAUGUUUAAUGAGUCCGUCGCAUACAUUGAGGAAACUAUGGUAAAGCUUGGCCCAUUUGACGGGGUUCUCGGCAUGUCCAUGGGAGCACUCAUAGCGGCUGCCUUACCGGGAAUGCAAGCCCAGGGUGUUGCUCUACCAAAGUGCAAGAUUUGAAAUGUGUGGUGGUGAUAUGUGGAGGUAAAUUUGCAAGUGUAGAGAUUGCAACUCCAAAGCUAGCCGAAAAUGCAUUUUCCUCUCUGAUUCAGACUCCCUCACUCCACAUCUUCGGUGAGAAUGAUUUCGCAAAGUUAGGUGCAAUUGAACUAUUGGAAUCAUUUGUUGAUCCUUUUGUUAUUUUGCACCCCGGGGGUCACGAGGUACCAGAACUAGAUGAAAAAGGUGUGAAGGUAAUGAACAGUUUCCUGGACAAGGUUCAAGCCUCAUUUGCAGCUCCUAAAGUGAUCCGCUCACUUAUGUAGCUCUGUCAACAAAGUGGAUGUUGUCUGACUAUUUGAUGCAUCAAGCACAACACAACUGCUUUCUAUCACAAUGGACUUUGUAUUGUUGUCUUCAUUGUGAUUAGACCAAUAAUUCACAGUUUUUAUCAGUAAAAUACAGUUUCAGAAUUCAAAUAAAAAAAAUACGAUCUCAAUAUUUUUUAUGAUUUCGAACAAUUUGUGACAUAAUUCACGAAAAAUAUUGUGAAUACGACAAACUGAAUUUAAAGCGAA